CGAAGGGUGCAAGCGUUACUCGGAAUUACUGGGCGUAAAGCGUGCGUAGGUGGUUUGUUAAGUCUGUUGUGAAAGCCCCGGGCUCAACCUGGGAAUGGCAAUGGAUACUGGCAAGCUAGAGUGCGGUAGAGGGUAGUGGAAUUCCCGGUGUAGCGGUGAAAUGCGUAGAGAUCGGGAGGAACACCAGUGGCGAAGGCGGCUACCUGGACCAGCACUGACACUGAGGCACGAAAGCGUGGGGAGCAAACAGGAUUAGAUACCCUGGUAGUCCACGCCCUAAACGAUGCGAACUGGACGUUGGGAGCAACUUGGCUCUCAGUGUCGAAGCUAACGCGUUAAGUUCGCCGCCUGGGGAGUACGGUCGCAAGACUG
rnacentral:rRNA from 1 species